GAUGAACGCUGGCGGCGUGCCUAAUACAUGCAAGUCGAGCGAACAGACGAGGAGCUUGCUCCUCUGACGUUUGCGGCGGACGGGUGAGUAACACGUGGAUAACCUACCUAUAAGACUGGUAUAACUUCGGGAAACCGGCUCUAAUACCGUAUAAUAUAUUGUACCGCAUGGUUCAAUAGUGAAGUACGGUUUUGCUGUUACUUAUAGAUGGUUCCUGGCCGAAUUAGCUAGUUGGGAAGGUACCGGCUUACAAAGGCAACGAUUCGUAGCCGACCGGAGAGGGUGAUCGCCAACACUGGACCGGGACACGGGCCAAGCCCCCUCGGGGAGGAAGCAGAAGGGAACCUGCCGCAAUGGGGGAAAGCCUGACGGAGCAACGCCGCGUGAGUGAUGAAGGUCUCGGGAUCGAAAAACUCUGUUAUUAGGGAAGAACAAAUGUGUAAGUAACUAUGCACGCCGUGACGGUACCUAAUCAGAAAGCCACGGCUAACUACGUG
rnacentral:rRNA from 1 species